CCUACGGGUGGCAGCAGUGAGGAAUAUUGGUCAAUGGACGCAAGUCUGAACCAGCCAUGCCGCGUGCAGGAAGACGGCUCUAUGAGUUGUAAACUGCUUUUGUACGAGGGUAAACGCAGAUACGUGUAUCUGGCUGAAAGUAUCGUACGAAUAAGGAUCGGCUAACUCCGUGCCAGCAGCCGCGGUAAUACGGAGGAUUCAAGCGUUAUCCGGAUUUAUUGGGUUUAAAGGGUGCGUAGGCGGUCGGAUAAGUUAGAGGUGAAAUCCCGGGGCUCAACUUCGGAAUUGCCUCUGAUACUGUCGGGCUAGAGAGUAGUUGCGGUAGGCGGAAUGUAUGGUGUAGCGGUGAAAUGCUUAGAGAUCAUACAGAACACCGAUUGCGAAGGCAGCUUACCAAGCUACUUCUGACGUUGAGGCACGAAAGCGUGGGGAGCAAACAGGAUUAGAUACCCCUGUAGUC
rnacentral:rRNA from 1 species